rnacentral:lncRNA from 1 species
CUUCAGAGAAGUUUGGUAGCAAGCCCUGCAUGUAGAGUCAUUAGGCUCAUCUGUGAGUGUUUUGCUUGAGCUUUCAAUGAGAAUUUGGAUUGAGAUUCACAAGGAUCCUCAGAAAUGUGCAGGAAAGCUGGAAGUGCUGAUGUGGGUUGCUUCGUUCUGGCUUUGGCACAAACAGCGGGUGGGGGCUGUCAAGAAGCAGUCUGCGGCGAGAGAGGGAUGUCUGUCUGCUCCUGUAACACGAAGCCCAGGUCAAAUUUUUUGUAGAGUGGACCAUCCAACCCCCAGAAACUCUCCAGAAGAACCAUGCUGCCCCCUACAGAAAGAGUAUGGAAGAACAUUCAAGAUGACGACAAGCUUCACCUCAACAAAAAACGGAAAACAUUUGUGGGGUCCCAGUCAACCAUACCCAAGCAGACAACCAAACUCCUUUAUAAGGGCCUUGUUCCUUGCUGGGCUGGGGUGAGGCUGGAACCCGAAUCAACAGGACCACAGACCACAACAACACGGCAGCUCAGGCAAAGGGCUUGGUCAGCAAAAUACAACGUAAACCUACCUAACUAACCCAUUCGUCUUCAUCUAAUGAAAUACUGUCGAUCUGCUUUGUGUUUGUGUGUGUGUUUGUGUGGGUGUACGGGUGUGCAUGUUUACAGAUGUAAUAUACACUAAGUAUACAAAACAUUAAGAACUCCUGCUCUUUCCAUGACCAGGUGAAUCCAGG